GCGAACGGGUGAGUAACACGUGGGCAAUCUGCCCUUCACUCUGGGACAAGCCCUGGAAACGGGGUCUAAUACCGGAUAACACUCCCUCCCUCCUGGGUGGGGGUUGAAAGCUCCGGCGGUGAAGGAUGAGCCCGCGGCCUAUCAGCUUGUUGGUGAGGUAAUGGCUCACCAAGGCGACGACGGGUAGCCGGCCUGAGAGGGCGACCGGCCACACUGGGACUGAGACACGGCCCAGACUCCUACGGGAGGCAGCAGUGGGGAAUAUUGCACAAUGGGCGAAAGCCUGAUGCAGCGACGCCGCGUGAGGGAUGACGGCCUUCGGGUUGUAAACCUCUUUCAGCAGGGAAGAAGCGAAAGUGACGGUACCUGCAGAAGAAGCGCCGGCUAACUACGUGCCAGCAGCCCGCGGUAAUACGUAGGGCGCAAGCGUUGUCCGGAAUUAUUGGGCGUAAAGAGCUCGUAAGCGGCUUGUCACGUCGGGUGUGAAAGCCCGGGGCUUAACCCCGGGUCUGCCCUCGAUACGGGCUUGCUAGAAUGUGGUAGGGGAGAUCGGAAUUCCUGGUGUAGCGGUGCAAUGCGCCAAAUAUCAGGAGGAACACCGGUGGCGAAGCGGAUUCUCUGGGCCAUUACUGACGCUGAAGAAGCGAAGCGUUGGGGAGCGAA
rnacentral:rRNA from 1 species